UACGUGGGGGGCGAGCGUUGUUCGGAAUUACUGGGCGUAAAGGGCUCGUAGGUGGUCAAUUAAGUUGGACGUGAAAUCCCUCGGCUUAACCGGGGAACUGCGUCUGAUACUGGAUGGCUUGAGUUCGGGAGAGGGAUGCGGAAUUCCAGGUGUAGCGGUGAAAUGCGUAGAUAUCUGGAGGAACACCGGUGGCGAAGGCGGCAUCCUGGACCGACACUGACGCUGAGGAGCGAAAGCCAGGGGAGCAAACGGG
rnacentral:rRNA from 1 species